GAUGAACGCUGGCGGCGUGCCUAAUACAUGCAAGUCGAGCGAACAGACGAGGAGCUUGCUCCUCUGACGUUAGCGGCGGACGGGUGAGUAACACGUGGAUAACCUACCUAUAAGACUGGGAUAACUUCGGGAAACCGGAGCUAAUACCGGAUAAUAUAUUGAACCGCAUGGUUCAAUAGUGAAAGACGGUUUUGCUGUCACUUAUAGAUGGAUCCGCGCCGCAUUAGCUAGUUGGUAAGGUAACGGCUUACCAAGGCAACGAUGCGUAGCCGACCUGAGAGGGGGAUGGGCCACAGGGAAACGGAGACACGUCCCCAACCCCUAGGGGGGGCAGAAGUAGGAAAUCUUCCGCAAGGGGGGAAAGCCUGACGGGGCAACGCCGGGUGGGGGAUGAAGGUUUUCGGAUCGUAAAACGCUGUUAUUGGGGAAAAAAAAAUUGGUAAGUAACAUUGCCUGUUUGAACGGUCCCAAAACAGAAGGCCCCGCCUAACUACGU
rnacentral:rRNA from 1 species